rnacentral:tRNA from 1 species
GGGGGCGAAGCUCAGAUGGUAGAGCGCUCGCUUAGCAUGCGAGAGGUAAGGGUAUCCCUGCGCCUCCU